UGAUGUUUAGACUCUUUUAGUAUUUGUCUAGAAGGUUUUCUCCGUGUCGAAUGCCCCG
rnacentral:snRNA from 1 species